CGGAGCCGCCCCGCCGCGCCUUCGCCGCCUCCCCGGCUGCAGCUUGGCCGCCGCCACUCCGCCUCCGCCACGCCGCAACUCCGCCGGAGUCGCAAGUAAGUUUCUAUACUCAGAGACCAAGCAAACAAAUUUCAUAUUCUGCCAGCAUAUACUCAGAGACAAAUAGCUGCCAUCAGGAUUCCUGAAAUUUAUGAGGACAUAUUGAAUUAGUGAGGAUUUCAUAAAUUUUUAGUCCAAGCAACUCAUACAUUUGAAGUUUUGUUGCUUACCUUCCCAUCCCAUUGUGUUGCUAUGCUCCUGAAGUUGCCUAACUACAGGAAAAGGAGGCCAAAGUAUCGGCAGCGAUGUUUUGUUUUGUGAGAACUACUCAAAUAUAUAAUCUAAAUAUACUAGCUGGAUGUUCGGCUACAUUCAUUAUGCCUUUCGGUAAACUUGAUGUUGGAUGAUACCACUGGAUGUAUUUCAGUCUUCUUGAUUGUUUUUGCAUUUGCUCAAAAUCUUUUCACCCAGAGAUUAUUAUGUGGGCUGCUUCAGUCUGUAGGUAAGACUCGCAAAAAAAAGUCUGUAGAUACUUCUAUAAUCAACAGAGAAGAAAAAAACUAAAAUUAGAGCUCUAUAUAACUGUACUGUUUACAUUGAGCAUGACACUGUUUUAAUUUUCAGUGUGGGCUGCCUGCUUGCAGCAGCAGUUUUGCAUCUUUGGCAAAUACAGAAUAUCCACCGUUGUUGUUGACCUCCCAGAAUGUUUACACCUUCGUCAUGCUUUACCUGCCAGUAAUUGUCAACAAUGUGUCAAGUCAGUACACAUUUUCUGCUGAUUGCAAGAACGGCAGCGACCAUGUGACUGAAGUGAGCAAACACGUCCAGGUCCUUUUGGCAUGGUGAGUGUCCUCCCAGCUAGAACAGUUAGAGGUGAAGCAGAGAGCACCGCCAGAAAUAUAAAGCUGCUGAAAGAAAUUACAAAAGCACAAGAACAACUUAAUAUAAUCCGAAUGAUCAAGCGAAAAGAAUGCAAACAAACUCGCUGGAUGUUCAUCCACUGAAUAGUAGGAGUGCUUUAGUAGUAGUAUCGAUAGAUUAGAGAUAUAAGUGCAGAAAUUAUGAAAGUAAGCCUCCUGGGAUUUGUCACACAAGGGGAAACAAAGAGAAGAGGAAAACGCCUACGAGAAUGAAAUACUGGAAGGUCGACAAGUGAUUUCCAUUGCUCACCUCGGCCUGCUAUGAACCUGUGACCGUGACAGUGCCGCCCGUUCUCCUACCCGGCGUCCUAUUCCUCCAUCCCACGUUGCUUACAUGUAACCGUGAAAAGUUAGUUGCUUACAUGUCCAGAUUGGUACUGCAAAGAUCAUGUUGCUGGCAUCCCAUGAAUGCCAGUUGUGUGAUUGUUUCUAGCAAUUUUCGGAGCCUUAUGAUCGUUAUGCAUUUUUGCCUGCAGUUCAUACAUAAUAUUUCCUAUGUCUGCCUUUGGAAGGUUUGCUGCCAUACUAUCGAUUGACAGUGCUUUAUGUGUUCUUCUUGACCGUUGGUGGACUCUAUAUGAAUACUGCUCCAAGAAAUCAAUCCUACCGCCCAUCGCCGCACUGAUCGCUAUGGCAUUUUGGGGGGCGCUUCCUGGUAAUACUAGGCGUCUAUUCUGAUAUUACUGGCGACCAUUAUAGAAUUUUAUUUGUGGUUUCUGCAAUUUACACUGAAAUUUAGCUAAUCAGUAUAUCAUGGUUUUACAGUUCGCAUAAUGAGUAAAUAAUAUACAUUCCAAUGGGAGGACAAACUUUUGAUGCUGGUGAAUUCUUUACAAUCAUUCCAAUGGCAGCACAAACUGAAAGUAUUUAUGUAGGCACAGAUCAUUGCUACACCAGAAUAAAUUGAGUAUUGAGUAAAUAAGACGCCCAGUUUUAUAAUACAGUCUACCGGUGCUUUCAUUGUGGUUUCACGGUAAUACCGCCAUGCCCUCCUUCUGUUAUGAUUGACACAAGGAGUGUCUUACUUGAAAUUUACAGAAUGGUAAGCGCUAUAAUUUAUUGGCGAUCUUGUGCUGUUGACUGACCCAAACAAGGUACUGUUGAAUUGAGGUCUUGUAAAAGUUUUUUUAAACUCAUGCAUGAGUACAAGUUGAACUAUUUGUAGUAUAUCUUCAUCGUUUCUUAUGAAGUGGAUGGGAGAAAGUGAUAACUGGUCACAGACAUCAUUUGGAAUAAUGUUGGACUCAGGCAUAGUGGUCCCUGAUCUAACGAGCAAAGGGAAACCAUUUACGGAUUUGGUUGUGUCGCAAAUAGCCCGGCAUGCUCUCAUGUAAUUCUUGAUCUACCGCGGAUUAUCCUUUUCUAUAUUAAUGGAACGUCGCACAGUUCUCUUGCGCAUUCAGAAAAAAAUAGUUUUGCAACCUUUAAAUUUUGAUGAAGCCUUUGAUAAUUCUUUUUUAUCUUCUAAUUCUCUUUUGACUGUGCUUAACGUACGACUUACCUAAUAUUAUGAUUUUGCACCACGGUUUCCCUUCGCUGUUUGUAUAUGUUGGGACUAUUGAUUUUUUUAAGUGAUUUUCAGUUCCUCACAACAGAUUUCUUUUGGAGUUUUUACUGAUCAGUAUGUUGGAGAUCUGCAGAUGACACUUCUUUAUAUGCAAGUGCAAAAAGAUUUCAGGUUCUGUCCUCUUUUCUUUGUUGGAACUAUCAGGUCGCGUCCUCUUGCAAUGCAAGUAUUGUUGAGGACUUGAGGCUCAGAUUUCACUUUUUGGGUUUUUUCUUCCGAGGAAAAAAAAACUUAAUAUUGGUAUGUCCUAGACCUUUUCAUUUGAACUUCAUGAUGCCCUGAUAGAUAUAACAGUUAUUUUGUUUCAGUAAGGAGGAAAAAAAUUGAAUUUGUUUGUCUGACAUUACAUAAUCUCUAAAUAUUGCGGCCGUAUCUUAUAUCUUAUCUUUUAGUUUCUCUUUGCCACUAAGCACAAAAUUUUUGUAGGCUACGAAGCACUAGCAUAGUACUUAUAAUCUUCCAAUCUGGUUAUGCAAAAGGUGAAUCUGUAUCCAUUAAACUUUGUUAAAUAGUAGGUCCUCUUAACAGUAUGCCUAAAACUAAUUGUUUCUCUGUGUCUAUAGUAUGUUAGUCCAGCUCAAUGGAUGUUCUUGACUAACUGCUAGCUUUAUUUGGUCUUAUCUGAUUCUCUGGUGUUAAUCCACUCCUACAUUGCCAAACUCAGUAUGAUUAAACAUGGAGUAUGUUAUAUACUUUGAUGAUAUUUUCAGAUUUUAAAUACUCCUAUAUGACAAGCACAAUCCCUGGUACUAAUGCUUACUCUUUUUAUUUCGGAUGUUCAAGUGUAGCAUCUAUUGACCAAUGCAAGCUCCAUCAGGAUGUGUGUAGUGUCCAUAAGUUUCUUUUUGGCCAGUACAGUGAGAAAAAUAUAUGGAACGUACAACAAUCCUACAUGAAACAUUCUGAACAAAGUUCUAUAGGGCCAACUUGCAUUUUCAUGUCAAGCAUGGCUGAUUAUCAGAGGGCAAGGAAAGAUGGAGUAGUAGAAUCAUUGCCUACGAUGAGUUCAACGGAUCGAUGUGCACAUUAACAAGCAUUGCCUGCUGUCUGCCUUCGCCUACUUUGACGAGGACGACAGCGGGUACAUAACCGUUGACCCGCUAGAAGAGGUGUGCUGGGAGUACAACACAGGCUGACGUCGGCAUCACGACAUCAUUAGGGAGGUCGGCAAUGAGAACAUGCGAUGUUCAAAUUGACUAUGGGGAGUUCGUGGCAAUGGUGAAGGGGAUCAUCGAGAAUGGAAGGCUGACCAUCAUUCUCCAUGGAGCAGACGACCUCAGCUAGCCUUUGAUUGAAAUAUUCAUAUACAACACACUAUCUUUGUUCACAUUGUGCUAUAGAUGAUAUCAAUAUUUUUAACCCAAGUCAUUAUUCAUUUUAUUUGUGUAAAGUAACUGAGAAACAAAUUCAUCUAUGUGAUUUGCAUGGUUGCAUCCGUAUGCAAUUUAAGCUGACAUAUUUUUUCAGC